UAACAAAAUACUAAAGCAAGUAUGAUAAACUGAUAUAAUCUACUGAAAUAGAAUCCCAACAACACACUUCCCAAAAUUGGUAGUACAAGUUAUAAGCUCUACUGAGUUCACUAAAAAUUCUCUAAGUAUAAUUGUUUCGGAAUAGAGAUAAACAAUACAAAAUAAACUUCAGAAGGUGACUCUUAGGCCUGUGAACGUGACGGCAUGUAUACCUUGAGUCUCCACAUCGAUGUUCGAUCGGCUAGCUAAUAAUAGACAAACUCCAGAGUACCUGGAUCGGCACAAAUAUGUACAGAAAGCAUAGGAUGAGUACACCACAGCGGUACCUAGUAAGUAUCAAGACUAACCUCGAUGGAACAGUGACGAGGGACAGUCAAGACACCUAUUAGACGUAAUAACCUGUACAAUUAUGAAUAUAAUAGUAACAGAGGGCAAUAUAAAGCUAAUUCAUGGUAAGAAUAAUGUUACGAUAUCCGCGUUAAGAACUGGAAACAACAAUUAACAACAAGGAACAAACAGAUAAUAACGCCACAGAGUAAGCUGAGUACAAUUAAAAUCCGGUGAAACCAAGUAAGGAGAAACAUGUAACAACCCAAUAAACAACCGUUUCCACACAAGAUUUAUACAAGAAUUUUUCCGAGGUGCUAUACCUCAUAAUCACAAUUUGCGUGUCCCAAGUCACGAACCCUAAUCACUUGGCAUUUUGUUGUAACGAUCCAGCCAGACAUUUUGAGUGUUGUAGCCAUGUUUCCCCAUAUACUACUUAUUUUAUGCUCAAUUAUUAUUAUGUUACUUGUUGAGGUAGUUGGUUUGGCUCCGGGGAUUUUUCGCAAUGAGUUGAGACACAUAGUCUCAAGGUUGGAAGCUUAAGUUGAAAAGGUUGUCCAGAUGUUUGACUUAUGUGUAGAUGGCCCCGAAAUGGAGUUUUGAUGGUUCCGAUAGCUCCGUUGGGAGAUAUUGGACUUUAGAGCGUGUCCGGAUAGUUAUUUGGAGAUACGCAGUUUUUUUUUGGCUUGCAAUGGCAAAAGUUGGAAAAUUAGAAGUUUUGGAAAUUGAGAAGUUUGACCGAGAGUUGACUUUGUGAUUAAUGGGCUCGGAUUUAUUUCUGGGAGUUGAAAUAGGUCUGUUGCAUCAUUUAUGACUUGUGUGUAAAAUUUGAGGUCAAUCGGACGUGAUUUGAUAGGUUUCGGCAUCGAUUGUAGAAGUUGGAAUUUCUUAGUUUUCGUUAGGCUUGAAUUGAGGUGCGAUUCAUGUUUUUGAUAUUGUUUGAUGUGAUUUGAGACCUUGACUAAGUUCGUAUCGUAUUUUAGAACUUGUUGGUAUAUUUGGUUGAGGUUCCGGGGGCCUCGAGUGGUGUUCGGAUGAUUAACAGAUCGAAAUUUGGAAUUGAAGGAUUGCAGAAGUGCACCAAGUUUGGUGCGAUCGCACCUGCGAAGCAUUUGGUCGCAGGUUCGCAACCAUAGAAGAGAAGGAGUCAUCGCAGGAGCGAAUUUAGGUGAGCUAGGGAGUUGCAAGUGCGAAGGGAAUUUCCGCACCUGCGAGUUCGCAAAUGCGGAAGGGGCAUCGCAGAAGCAAAAGGAGGCCUGGUGAGGCAGGUCCGCAGAAGCGAGGCCGCAGGUGCGGGCGCUGUCCGGUGAAACUCCACAGAUGCAGAGCUUUGACCGCAAAAGUGGAACCGUAAGUGUGGUUAAAUGAUGCGCAGAAGCGAAAAGGGCUAGGCAGUGUUUAAAACUCAAGGGCUUUCGUGGUUGUAAUCAUUUUCGACAUUUCAAGCUCGGACUAAAGUGAUUUUUGAGAGGGGUUUUGAGGGAUUUCUUGAGGUAAGUCACUCUUGAUCGCUUGUAUUCAAUAAUAUUGUUCACCCAUUGAAUUUCCCAUCUAUUUUGUGUGUUUUCGAGGUGGAAUUUUAAGAGUUUUAGGCCAGGGAUUGGAAAGUUAAAAUUAGGGAUUUGAGUGAUGAUUUGGUGUUGGAUUUGAGUAACUUUUGUAUGGUUGGACUCGUGGUUGAAUGGGUGUUUGGAUUUUGUAACUUAUAUCGGAUUCCGAGACGUGGGCCCGGGGGUUAACUUUGAGUUGAGUUUUUGACUUUUUAUUAAGAACUUAGCAUUUUCAUAUGGAAUUAAUUCCUAUAGCUUGAGUUGAUUGUAUCGAAUUGUUUGUGCCUCGAUUCGAGAAAUUCAGAGGCAGAUUCGUGAAGCAAGGGCUUGUAAGAGUAGAGAUUUGCACGGUUUGAGGUAAGUAACACUUCUAAACUUGGUUUUGAGGGCAUGAAUCCCUCGUGAUUUUAAUCAAUUUGGACAUUUCAAGCUCGGACUAAGGCGAUUUUUGAGAGGGUUUCUUGAGGGGUUUCUUGAGGUAAGUCACUCUUGAUCAUUUUUAUUCAAUAAUAUUGUUCCCCCAUUGAAUUUUCCGUCUAGUUUGUGUGUUUUUGAGGUGGAAUUUUGAGAGUUUUGGGCUAGGGAUUAGAAAGUUAAAAUUGGGGAUUUGAGUGACGAUUUGGUGUCGGAUUUCAGUAAUUUUGGUAUGGUUGGACUCGUAGUUGAAUGGGCUUCGAAUUUUGUAACUUUUAUCGAAUUCCAAGACGUGGCUCGGGGUUGACUUUUUAGUUGACUUUUUGACUUUUGAUUAAGAACUUAGCAUUUUCAUAUGGAAUAGAUUCCUAUAGCUUGAGUUGAUUGUAUCGAAUUGUUUGUGGCUAGAUUCGAGACAUUCGGAGGCUGAUUCGCGCGGCAAGGGCUUGUUGGAGUAGAGAUUUGCACGGUUUGUGGUAAGUAACACUUCUAAACUUGGUUAUGAGGGUAUGAAUCCCUGAAAUUACGUGAUAUGUUAUUGGUGUUGAGGUGACGCGCAUUCUAAGUGACGGACGUGUGGGCGUACACCAUAGUAAUUGUGAUUUAGUCGAUUCCAUGGAACUAUGUAGCUAUCUUAUCUCAAUAUUAUUACUGAACUCUAUGUUUUAGAGCACUUGAGCUGUGAUUUAUGCUAGAAAACAUGUUUAGGCUAUGUGCAGAUAAAAUUAGGACCCACAGUGGUUGCUCUUUGCUGUUGAGUUAUUUGCUUAAUUGCAGUUAUGUACUCAGUCACAUUCAUCAUUGCAUAUCAUAUCUUAGUCUAUGAUAUCAUAUAUUGUCACAUCAUGUAUCAUUUUUUUGGGCUGCUUAGCAUGAGUGUUGUGAGCCCGAGAGACUGGAGAGAUUGAUGACUGUGUGAGGCCGAGGGCCUGUUUAUGAGUGAUAUUUAUGGGAUCGGGCUGCACGCCGCAGUAUGAUUUAUUGAUUCGUGUCAUGAUUGGCUCAUUAUAGCACUUGGGCAGUAUCUGCCCCUCCGGAGUCUGAACACCCAUAGUGAGCAUAGUUCUAUUGAUUCAAGAUAUUUGAUUCGGGCUGGAUCUGCUAUGUACUGUGCUGAUUGAUUGAGUGUGAUGAGUGAGAAUUGAGACAGUCAGGGUGAGUACUCUGAGAGUGUGAGUACGUGAAGCUUUCAUUGUAUUGCAUCACAUACAACAUGCAUAUUGGCAUAUAGAUAUAUAGAUGUUAUAUUCCUCAGAUCAUUCCGACUUGACAUAUUCUACCUGUAUUGAGCUUGAGUGUUAAACCUGGAAGCAUGUCUAAAUUCUUGUACUUACAUGCAAAUUAUGAAUUUUUUGAGAUAUUAUUGUUUUAUUUUCUGCAAAUUUUUGUACUGUUAGUUCUGUAUGUGGGUUGUACUGUGCGAGCUUGUCACAACUUUCAACCACAGGUUAGACUUGUUACUUAUUGAGUUGGUUGUACUCACGCUACACCCUGCACUUCGUGUGCAGAUCUAGGUGUUUCCGGAUAUGGAGGUUGAUGAUCUUGGAGUUUUCAGCCGUUCUUUGAUUAUCGAGGUAGUUGCCUUGGCGCCCACAGACCUUGACUCUCCUUCCCUUAUCUUUCAUUUUUACUUAUUUCGUUCUACUUUCAAGACAGCGUAUCAAACUUAGUCAUUAUAUAGACGCUCAUGUACUUAGUGACACCCGGGUUUUGGGGAAAUUCUGCAUUGAGUUCUGACGCUUUCUUCUAGUUUUAUGAGAUUUUUCACUUAUUUAAACCUGUUUAGUAUAUUUUGAAUUUACAUGUGUUGGUACGUAUGAGUUGUCGGCUUGCCUAGUAUCAUGAUAGGCGCCAAAAUGACAGGUCGAGCUUUGGGUCGUGACACUUGUGCCCACAUUAAACUUCACAAUCGCACGGACAACUCACGUGCCAAUACCAUUAGUACCUCAUAUUUGUACGGACAACUCACGUACUAAGAGAGUGACAAUAUCUCAUAUCCGCACAGACAACUCACGUGCUAGCAACAACAAUGCCUCAUAACCGCACGGACAACUCACGUGCCAACAGGAGGAAUAUCUCAUAUCCGCAAGGACAACUCACGUGCCAUUAGUACAACUUUCACACAGAAGACAAGUAUACGAGAAUACAUGUAAAUGCUCAAUAAACAUCAAGGUUCAUCUUAUUAAACUGACAUGAGUGAAUAAUUAUAUGUAUGCUUGUGCAAGUGUUCUAUCACAACUCAAGUCAACAAGGGUAGAGACAACGAAUGACACAUAGGAAACAACAUAACAAAACGUAAAAUGCAUGACUCACACAAGGUAGGCACACCACCACACAAUUAUCAUCAAUAACAAUGCCCCAGGACUUGAGGCAUUGUUGGUCCUAUGGCAACAGCUGCAAAACCGUUGCAAUAGACAAGGUUUUUGAUGACCAGUUGCAAUAGACAAGGUAACCGUUGCAACAGAGCUACUGGAACGGUUUAAGGACCGUUUCACCAGGUCGUGUCGCAAUAGCUCUACUACAACGGUACUUGCAACGGUUUGUAUAACCGUUGCUAUUUCACUAUCUAUUACAACGGUUUUUCCUUCUAUUACAACGAAAUUUUUAGUCAAUUGGAACGGUUCAUAAUCGUUGCAAUAUCAUUUUAUGCAAAGGUUGUUAAAGCUAUUGCAACGCCUAGAUUAUGAUAUUACAACGGUUUCGAAUAACUGUAGCAACGGUUUUAUUGAGACUAUAAUCUAGUAAUGAACGUAUAGCAACGGCUCACAGCACCUAUAGCAACAGCUUAUAGAAGCUAUGCAACAUUUCAAACAUACUAGGCUUAGUGUAAAUAAAUAAUUAUGCAUAAUUAAAUGUAAUACACUAAAAUUUAUAUAAAUUAUGAAAUAAAACAAUUCAUAAAAAAAAAAAAAAAUAUCCAACUGAUAAUAUCCAUAAGAGCAAAAUAUCAAAUCGUUUUACAAUUCAAGAGUAUCAUAAGUUUUAAAAUGAAUGAAAAUAAAAGAUUCCUAAAAUAUCUAAAACUUCAUCAACAACUGAAAUCUUCUUAAGCAAGGUCAUCACUGCUUUUGUGGUCCCUUUAUUCAUUUACAUGAUAAAUAAGAGUAUGAGAUAACAUUCAAGUCAUGUUGAUCUUUUUGGCAAUGUUACAUGAUUUAUCAACAGCUCAUCUAUACUUAACUUUUUUUUACUUCAAAUAGACUAAUGAUAAAAGCAUAAGUAUAUAAAUGAUUUGACUGCCAUCGAGUACUGGGUACAUCAACUUUCACCCAUUUCACUAAGAAGGUACAUAUAUACUUAAUAACUACACAAAUUUUCUAUCUCUAGUUUAAGAAAUCUUUUUCAUAACCAAAUUGUGUUUUUUUUUCUUACAGAAGAAGAAUUGGUUUUACUAGAAGUAUAUCUAAGUAUAGAGGAGUUGCAGGGUAAUUAAACCCAUUGCACCUUGUCUAGUAGCCAAUAUCCCAAUCCUUUACUACCUUUUCAUUCAAAAGAAACAAGCGAUUCUUUGAAUUUAAUCAAUUCCAGGAAUCAUCACAAUAACAGACGGGAAGCAAGAAUCAGACGAGGUUGGAAACAAAGAUCUAUACUUAGUUACUUACAAUAAGUACUUUAUUUCACUCCAUUUAAUUUUUUUCAAUUUCUGAUCAAAUCAAGAUCAUUGACAGAGAAAGGAAAAUUUGAAACUUGGCAGUUAUCUAGGAAUAGAUGAAUAGUAGUUUCUUCACAUGAAUUGUACAUGAGAAUAGAUCAAUCAAUUGUAAGAAUGAAAAUCUCUCAAUCUAGCAAAGAAAUCAAAUAUAGUAACUCGCUGUGCAGAGUCAAAUAAUUACCAUAGUUAUUAUCACAAGUACUGGAAAUUUUAACUUUCUACAUCAUGUGGUUUUUUCCCCCUUUUAUUCAUUUCCCCCUUUUUUCCUAUCUUAGAUUAAAAUUCUGGUGUUUCUGUAGAAAUAUAGCUUUCUCAAGUAAUCCUCCUCACGAGAGAGAUGUUAAGUAUGUACGUAUCAUGGGUAUUUAUAGUAGAUAGAAAGUUAUAAGAGGAAGAGAAAGAAGAGUAGAGUUGGUGUAGCAUCUAAAAUAAAUACUGACCUUGUUUGUUACUACUAGUAGAUGGACGAUGAAAUAUUUGUUGAAUAGCAGUUUGUGGUGCAGAGGUAUCGAUCUUCUCCCGAUGAAUGAGCAUCGGAUAUAGCUAGCAUUUCAACCACGUUAUAACAUUUAUAGAGGCCCAGAACCUCCAACUUUUCCUUUUAAAACUCAUUUCGUAACCCCCCAACCAUACAAUUUCACGCGUCCAUGAUGCUUGGAUUCUAUGGCAGAUAUAAUUGCGUCAACUGAUUGAUUGCCAUCUUCACUUUCUUGAGUUGGUCCUUCUUAGGAUAUUCCUCCAACUUCUGGUUAUACAUUAAAAUACUACACAACACAAUAACAAAUAACCAAAAUGAAGAUUUUAUGGUAAGCUAAAACAGAAAAAUAGCAACAAUAUUUUCAAAUGAAAAACCAUGGAAAAAUCUCUAAAGUUCUGCACAUUAAAAUCAAGUGUGCAAUAUUCAAUUAAAACACUAUUACAAGUGUGUUAGCCAUAGAACCGAAGCAUCAUGACAAAUCAAUUCAUCUGCCAGAGGUGCAAAAUUGCUCAAAAUUGUAUAAUUGUUCCUACUUUCCAUCCUAUUAUUAAUUAUAUCGUUAGCUCUAAGCUGGGCAUGUCACAUGACGUUCUUGGAAGAAAAUAUACUUUAAUCAGACGAACAAAGAAAUCACGCUUAUAAUAAUUUAAAUAGAUUUUACAAUUGAACUAAGUAACAUGUCAUGCAAAAUACUGAAGUAACAUGACAUUCUUUAUAACUUUUGAUGAAUCAAUUUGAAACUGAAUUUCUUGUCUCUUAAAAUUGUAAAAUGAGGCUACAAGGCAUUAACUAUUAAAGCAGAAUAUUCUACUACAAUUAAGUCAACUAAAAAAUGAGAAAAAGGAAAACAAAAUGCUGCUUUCAAACCCACAAGACCAACUUCAUCCAUUAGCAGGCAAGAGUUUGGAGCCACAGUUAGCUAAAGCUAAUAGGAAAGAGCCAUGCUAGAAUCAUUCAACUUUUUGGACUACCUCCUAAACCACACCAAAACACAAAAUAAGCAUACAAAACUCAUUCUCAACAGUAAUCCAAAGAUGACCACUGAUAAAAUACACACCAACACCUUGGUCUUAGAUUUUUUGUGCUUCCGUAGAUGAUUUUACUGACUUUCUAAGAUGAUUCAUAAGAAAGAGUUGACAAGGGAUGAUUAGCAGCUACUAAAACCCACAAAUAGCCUUAAAAAGGGGCAAUCAAUCAAUUUUAAAGAUCCAACAAAAAUGUCAAGAAGCAAAAGAACCCUAACAGAUCCCCAAUUUUAAGAAUAAAGAGCAAAAAUAGUAGAAUUUUAAUAUAAAAAAACCCUAACAUAUCCCUAAUUUAGAUUCAAAGCUUCAAUAGAAAGCAAAAUGAUUAAUUCAACAAGAAAUUAGUAAGUGAAACAAGAAAGAGAUGAUUAAUUCAUCAAGAAACUCCCAAAUCUUAAAUACAUUACCACACAUCUUAAAUUAGGGAUUUUAGAUUCUGCACAUUUAACAUGCAACAAGCAGUAUGUGGACUAAACGAAAUCUAAGAUCGCUAAAACAUCUAUCCAACAAAACACACUUAUCUUACAAACAAAAUCCGUCACCCAAUAGAAUUUUACAGUUACCGGCAACGAUGUACAACUACCGGCAACGAGAUGCUAUAUAGAUACAGGUUUCCAAAGCUAUUUGGCACAGAUUCUGGUGAUGAUUUACAUGUACAACUACUGAUGAUGGAUUUGGGAUGAUUCUUCCAUAGAUCUCAAGAAAAUGCUGAAGAAUUUUGGAAGAGACUUUGUUCCUUAGGUCUUUGAGUGUGUUGAGGUUAUUUGGAGUUUUAGGAGUUUUGCAGAUGUUAUAAUUAAUUAAAAGAUAAAAGAUAAAAAAAAAUAAAAGAAUAGAGUUGGACUAGCAUAGUGAAAUGGGGGAAAAAGAGGAGGGAGCAAUCCGACCCAAUAGAUAUUUUUACCCCAAAAGCCGUC
rnacentral:lncRNA from 1 species